rnacentral:rRNA from 1 species
UACGAAGGGAGCUAGCGUUGUUCGGAAUCACUGGGCGUAAAGCGCACGUAGGCGGAUGUGUCAGUCAGGGGUGAAAUCCCGGAGCUCAACUUCGGAACUGCCUUUGAUACAGCACAUCUGGAGUCCGGAAGAGGUGGGUGGAAUUCCCAGUGUAGCGGUGAAAUGCGUAGAUAUUGGGAGGAACACCAGUGGCGAAGGCGGCUCACUGGACCGGUACUGACGCUGAGGCGCGAAAGCGUGGGGAGCAAACAGG